GUGCUCUUAAUAAGAACAUACUUGCAGACUGAAGCAGCCCUAUGUGGUGACAACCCACAUGAGUUGGAGAGGUAAGAGACUGUUAAAGAUUGGGCCGUUGAGCUUGAAGCCGAAUUUACUGAAGUUAGGGUUUGAAUAUAACGACCGUAACAAGCUUUGGCAUCUAUGAAGCGCCUAAGAUUAAUGAGUAAUUUGAACACGAAAGAAAACAUUUCUUUAGAAAGAAGGGGUUUCNNCAAAUAAAACUUAAAAGAAAAAAAAAAGCCACUAAUGGCGAUUUUUGCAACUACAACCGCAAACCCUAUUGGGAAAAUGGCGGCAGAGAGCCCCUUCGAAGUUCAC
rnacentral:misc_RNA from 1 species